rnacentral:rRNA from 1 species
UACGUAGGGUGCGAGCGUUAAUCGGAAUUACUGGGCGUAAAGCGUGCGCAGGCGGUUUCGUAAGUCAGAUGUGAAAGCCCCGGGCUCAACCUGGGAAUUGCGUUUGAAACUGCGAGGCUAGAGUGUGUCAGAGGGAGGUGGAAUUCCACGUGUAGCAGUGAAAUGCGUAGAGAUGUGGAGGAACACCGAUGGCGAAGGCAGCCUCCUGGGAUAACACUGACGCUCAUGCACGAAAGCGUGGGGAGCAAACAGG